AUUUGAAUAGCUUACAAUAAAGCAUAACUUUGAAGGUGUUAAGAUGGGAAACCCCCUUCAAAUA
rnacentral:tRNA from 1 species